CGGAAAGAAGAAUUCCUUUCGUUGAUGUUGGAGCAGAUGGUGAUUUGAUAAUUUCACGAACCUUUGCUGAUGCAUCUUUUCCAAAACCAUGGCUUACUGGCGACAUCUGGACAAAUACGUGGCAGCGGGGUUUCAGAAUAUCCACAGCAUUCGAAUGGAUAGAGAAAGAAGCGAGAAGAAGCGCAUUUUCUUGUGAUAACGUCUUUAAAUGUGUGUAGAUUUUGUGCACGAAAAUGGUAGUUUCAACUGAAGUUGCUCCAAAUUGCUCCAAUAUUGAAAGAUCAUCGAAGAGAAUAACUGACGCAGAGGAAUCAAUUAAUUUCUGAAAAAUUUUGAGUUAAACAAUUUUUAUUCGAAAAAAGAUAUAUGCUG
ensembl:antisense_RNA anr-6 ncRNA